AACCAUUUUCAAUCUACUAAGUAUCAAAUCAAAACCACAUUUAAAACAUAAAAAUCACUUUUAAAGUCCCUAGACUCAACCAUAUUCAAUUGCCUAAGUCACCGGCCAAACCACAUUCAAAACAAAAAAAUCUACUUUAAAGUUCCUAAACUUAACCAUUUUCAAGAUACUGAGUCACCUACCAAACCACAUUCAAAAUAAAAAAUUCACUUGUUAAGUUCCUACACUCAACCAUUUUCAACCAACUAAGUAUCAAAACAAAACCACAU
rnacentral:lncRNA from 1 species